CUUACGCGUAGGGCUACACACGUGCUACAAUGGCAGUGACAAUGGGAUAAUCCCCAAAAGCUGUCUCAGUUCGGAUUGUCGGCUGCAACUCGCCGGCAUGAAGUUGGAAUCGCUAGUAAUCGUGGAUCAGCAUGCCACGGUGAAUACGUUCCCGGGCCUUGUACACACCGCCCGUCACACCAUGGGAGUUGGUUUUACCCGAAGGCGAUGUGCUAACCGCAAGGAGGCAGUCGACCACGGUAGGGUCAGCGACUGGGGUGAAGUCGGAACAAGGUAGCCGUAGGGGAAC
rnacentral:rRNA from 1 species